AGACGAAUAAGUCGUGGCGAAUACGCCACGAUGAUGACGGUAUCCCUUAGCAAGCACCGGCUAACUCUGUGCCAGCAGCCGCGGUAAGACAGAGGGUGCAAACGUUGUUCGGAAUUACUGGGCGUAAAGCGUGUGUAGGCGGCUCUGCAGGUCGGAUGUGAAAUCCCUUGGCUCAACCAAGGAAGUGCAUUCGAAACCGCAAAGCUAGAGUGUCGGAGAGGAAGGCGGAAUUGUCGGUGUAGAGGUGAAAUUCGUAGAUAUCGACAGGAACACCUGCGGCGAAAGCGGCCUUCUGGACGAACACUGACGCUGAGACACGAAAGCGUGGGGAGCAAACAGGAUUAGAUACCCUGGUAGUCCACGCCGUAAACGAUGGGUGCUAGGUGUCACGGGCUUUGACCCCUGUGGCGCCGUAGCCAACGCGUUAAGCACCCCGCCUGGGGAGUACGGCCGCAAGGCUAAAACUCAAAGGAAUUGACGGGGGC
rnacentral:rRNA from 1 species